ensembl:lncRNA
AUGCAUGGGUCCAGUUUGAAUGAGUUUGGUAGAUGGAUUACUACUCAAUCAUGGCAGCAGGUAAAUGAAGCUACAGGUACCAAUGAAAAGGCUAACGCUUUUUAUAGUACCAUCAUGCCUGAAAUUGACCGUCAUUUUCCUACGAAGACAGUAAAAAUGUAUCCCUCAGAUAAACCAUGGAUUACUCCAAAAAUUAAGCAUUUAAUCUGCCUGAGACAAAAAGCUUUCAAGAUUCGGAAAUCAAGCACUCUAUCAAAAUUCUACAGGAACAAAGUCCAAAAGGAAAUAAGCGCUGCAAAAAAACACUACUAUAAAUCAAGGGUAGAAGGUACAAUCAAAGGGAGUCCGAGGGCUUGGCACAGGAAAAUCAAAUCAAUGUGCGGAUCUGUGAAAAAGGUGGAUCGAAUUGAAGUCCCGGGAAUUAACCCCCAAGAUUUUGUAACAACUGCUAAUGUGAUUAACACAAAGUUGGUCAAGGUGUCUCAAUCCCUCCCGCCUCUCAAGUAUGCAGACCUACUGUCUUAUCUUCCAUCUCCACCAUUGCCCACCAUUCCAGAAUGGGAAGUGUACAGAAAAUUAUCUUCCCUAAAUUGUCACAAAUCCCCUGGCCCUGACAUGAUUCUCCCAAGAAUAUUGAAGGAGUUUGCAUGUGAAAUCAGCAAUCCUAUUUGUGACAUUAUUAACAGCUCUCUUGUAGAAGGUGUAGUUCCCAUACAAUGGAAAGAGGCCAUUGUCGUUCCCAUACCAAAAUCUUCUCCUCCGAAUAUUGAGGAAUUAAGACCGAUCUCACUAACAUCCCAAUUGUCAAAAAUUUGUGAAAAAUUUAUUGAGCAAUGGAUCGUGAAUGAUAUCACACCAAACCUAGAUCCUAUGCAGUUCGGUAGUCGACAUAAUCAUUCCACAACACAUAAUUUAGUUAGCCUGAUGGACUUUGUGUAUAAAGCUUGUGAUGAACCAGGAUCAGUGUGCACAUUAGUUACAACAGAUUUUGCAAAAGCUUUUGAUGCUGUCGACCACACAGUAGCAAUAAAGUGCCUCCUGGAUCUAGGAGCGAGAACUAGUCUAAUUCCAUGGAUCAGUAAUUUUAUGUCUAAUUGCCGUCAAAGAGUGCGUUACCAUGAAUAUUUAUCUGAUUGGGAGUAUCCUUCAUGUGGAGUUGCCCAAGGAACCAUAUUGGGACCCAUAAUCUUCCUAGCACUGAUCAACAAUGCUCUUCAAGAUCAAAUAAAUCACUGGAAAUACGUGGAUGAUAUGACUAUGGCCCAAAGGUGGACAGUUCAACAGCCCUGUACUCUCCAGCUUACAUUAAAUAACCUUGGCAUUUGGGUUGAGGACCAUAAAAUGAAACUCAACUCAAAAAAAUGUAAUGUCUUACAUGUCUCCCAUAUAAAACACUUGCCAACUUGGCCACAACUUUCUAUAGAUCAGAAUAUUCUAAACACCUGUGACUCUGUUAAGAUCUUAGGAGUAACCAUUCAGAGUGACUUAAAAUGGGACGGACAAGUGGACCACAUGUUGUCCUCAGCUAAUAGAAAGCUUUUUGCUUUUCGUCGGCUAAAGAAAUUUGGAGUUCAUGAUCAAGAACUGGUUACCAUCUAUACUGGGUACGUACGUCCAGUGUUAGAGUAUGCAGUCCCAGUUUGGCAUAAUUCCUUGACCACUGACCAAAUUAAAAGGUUGGAAAGAGUGCAGAAACGAGUUUGUAAAAUCAUACUGGGACGAAGGUACGAAGGAUAUUCUGAUGCCCUCUCUUUUCUUGGAUUGAGUACACUAGCAGAGAGACGAGUCCAAUUGAGCCUUGAUUUUGCUAGGAAGCUAUAUAAGUCUAGCUUUAGAGAUUGGCUACCACCACUCAGGGAGCAGCUGACUGGACGCCAGAUGAGGAACUCUUCUAAACUGACAACCCCCAGAUGCCGAACGGUACAAUUCAGGAGAUCACCUAUUCCAUAUAUGUGUAGACUUUUAAAUGAUUAUGGAUUUUAA